GACGAACGCUGGCGGCGUGCUUAACACAUGCAAGUCGAGCGGUAAGGCCCUUUCGGGGGUACACGAGCGGCGAACGGGUGAGUAACACGUGGGUGACCUGCCCUCAGCUCUGGGAUAAGCCUGGGAAACCGGGUCUAAUACUGGAUAUGACUCCAUGACGCAUGUUGUGGGGUGAAAGCCUUGUGCGGCUGAGGAUGGGCCCGCGGCCUAUCAGCUUGUUGGUGGGGUGANGGCCUACCAAGGCGACGACGGGUAGCCGGCCUGAGAGGGCGACCGGCCACACUGGGACUGAGACACGGCCCAGACUCCUACGGGAGGCAGCAGUGGGGAAUCUUGCGCAAUGGGCGAAAGCCUGACGCAGCGACGCCGCGUGAGGGAUGACGGCCUCGGUUGUAACUAC
rnacentral:rRNA from 1 species